rnacentral:rRNA from 1 species
UGGGGAAUAUUGGACAAUGGGCGAAAGCCUGAUCCAGCGACGCCGCGUGGAGGAUGAAGGUCUUCGGAUCGUAAACUCCUGUUAAGUGGGAAGAAACGUCUGCGAGUAAUAUGCGCAGAUAAUGACGGUACCACUAGAGAAAGCUCCGGCUAACUUCGUGCCAGCAGCCGCGGUAAUACGAAGGGAGCAAGCGUUAUUCGGAUUUACUGGGCGUAAAGGGCGCGUAGGCGGUGAACUAAGUCAGUUGUUAAAUUUCUCGGCUCAACCGGGAAUCAGCGAUUGAAACUGGUUUGCUAGAGUACAGGAGAGAGAAGUGGAAUUAUCGGAGUAGCGGUAAAAUGCGUAGAUCUCGAUAGGAACACCGAUGGCGAAGGCAGCUUCUUGGCCUGGUACUGACGCUGAGGCGCGAAAGCGUGGGGAGCAAACAGG